rnacentral:rRNA from 1 species
GAUGAACGCUGGCGGCGUGCCUAAUACAUGCAAGUCGAACGCUGGAAAUCUAGCUUGCUAGAUUGAAGGAGUGGCGAACGGGUGAGUAAUACAUAAGCAACCUACCCACGAAGACUGGGAUAAUCUCUGGAAACGGGGACUAAUACCGGAUAGGUAAUCGGAAGGCAUCUUCUGAUUAUUAAAGGUUAAAAACACUGGUGGAUGGGCUUAUGGCGCAUUAGUUAGUUGGUGAGGUAACGGCCCACCAAGACGAUGAUGCGUAGCCGGCCUGAGAGGGUGAACGGCCACAUUGGGACUGAGACACGGCCCAGACUCCUACGGGAGGCAGCAGUAGGGAAUUUUAGGCAAUGGGGGAAACCCUGACCGAGCAACGCCGCGUGAGUGAUGACGGCCUUCGGGUUGUAAAGCUCUGUUGUAAGGGAAGAACGGUAGAUAGAGAAUAUCUAAAUGACGGUACCUUACCAGAAAGCCACGGCUAACUACGUG